GCCCAUAGGCUGAAAAAUGACCAAAGAAGACUUAGAUGUGUCCUUUCUGGAGCCAGAAGGCAGGGAUUGGUGGGAUGAUGCCUGAAGAGCGCUGCUCAUCUGAGAAUUCUAAUUUUAUGAUUCUUAGAACACUGAAACAUCCCUUACUGGAGGUUAUGAGUCAAAGAAAGGAAUGAAAAAGGGAAAUUGGAGCAUUCCACCUCCUCCUCCCCUGACCCCCCACCAUCUUUUUUGGACCAGGGCUGUUUAGGCAGAGAAAAGGGAUAAACCCAAGAGUGUUCAGUCAGCCCAAGAAUUCUAUUCUCCCAAGACUUCUGCUCUCCUCACCUUGUUUCUCCCUCCCCCUGGCUAUGUUCCUCAUUCUCAGGACCUAGACUAGAGAGAGAGGAGAGAGAGAGAUCAGAGCCAUUGUCCAGCUGAGGAGAGGUCAGAAAUUUCAGCAAUCAUCGCCAAGCGACUCUGACUGAAGGAAACAGGAGGGUGGGCCCAGGGAACGGAACAGGACAACAGGAGACUCAAAGACAGGGAGGGGAAGAGUAAACACCACCUCUUACUAGAACGCAGACCAGCCGUGAGAGGAGCUACCGUGCAGGAAAGUGGGGUUCUCCUCCCCAUUCUCUGUGCCUCAGUAUGCCAUCAGGGGCCAUCUCAUCUAUCCCCUCGUGCCCAGAAAGGACUGGCUGUCCCCCUGGCCAAACAAAGCUUAUCUGUUCUUAAAGGCUCUCCAGAGAAGGGGACGAUCAGACUUCUCUCCGGCACCUGUUCCAAAGUUCCCUGCGGCUUAUCACCAGGAAGCUGAUAUCCUGAGAGCCUGCCAAACUUACUCUUAUUGAAGAUUUAGGUCUAAAGGCUCUUGAGUUAUUCUCAUUGGAGCUGAAAAGGUUCUUGUCAUCCUUCUCUGCAAUAAAACACCAAAGACUUGAAGCUUCAUGAAGGCAGGGACUGUGCCUUUUCUAAACUCUAUGCCCUUCAUUCCCUGUCACAGUGUUCUUUAUAAACAUUUACUUAAUGAAUACACGUCUUCUCAGAUUAUUAUUGCAGAUGGACAAUGAGCUGGAACCAAAAUUGAAUAGGAGGAAGAGAGUGGGGCUGUACUGCGUGCAUGUGGGAAAUUGCACACUGAUUCCAACAAUCCCGAGCUGCUCCCCGACAAAAAACCCAUCCUUUUGAAACCGAUGGUCUCCCGCUGGUGCAAGUCAUGGAGUGCCACAACAGCCAAAGAACCAAAAUUAUGGCUUACCCAAAAGGCAAUGGCUAGAUCUAUGAUGGACAUAAAGAGCCUCCACCAACGAUCUACAGACAAGAAAUGGCACAAAGGACAUCAUCCAAUAACGAGUUAGCAGCCCCUGCCCAAGAGAAGUUGAGAGAAACCAAAGGAAAAGCAAAGUGAGAGGACGUUGGGCAGGAAUAAAGAGGCAAGGACCGCUUAUGUCUUCCCUUUCCUCGCUCCCCACUCCUGCCUGGGACAAGCAGCUUUGGAGUCUUUGUCUGCCCUGGCAUGAAGAGGGUAUGUUCCACUUAACAAAGCUUAGCUGACAGCGAUGGCUGCUGAUUCAGGAUAAGAGGAGGAGAAAAAGAAAAGGUUAGGAAGAAUUCUUUGGGGGGGGGAAUGUUUUUCUUAAUAUUCUUCUUAAAACGCUUUUGAGGAAAGCGUGUGGAGAUGCCUGAAGGAGGACAUAUAAAGAUGGAGAAAUAAAUACAGUAUAUAUGUCAGUCAUAAGGGACAAUGUAGCAUACUGGUUAAUGGACUGGCAGAGGAAGAAGAAAGACCUGGGUUCAAGUCCCGACUCUUAUUCAUACUAUAAGAUGCCUGGGCAGAUUAAUUAACCUCUCAAUGGCCCCAGGCGACUCCCUAACACUAAAAAUUACUUUCUAGUUCUCCACACUAAUGAAAUAAUAGGUCGAAAUAAACAAAAAAGUCCUAUAUACAUAAAUAAUAAAUAGCACUUCAAGGUUUACCAUGUGCUUUCCUCAGAAUAAAUAUGUAAUUAGUAUUCUCACACUCAUUUUACAGAGGAGAAAACUGAGUCUCAGAGAAGCUAAAUGACUUGUCCAUGGUCACAAAAUCACUUAGUAAGUGUCCAAUUUGGGAUUCAAAUCGAAGCCUUGUGAUUCCUAAGGUCCACUGAAACAGACUAGGGAAUAUAGAAAUCUUUAACUCCUCAUAAGGGCUGGUGCAGACUGAAGAUGAGAACAGGGAUAAGAUGCUGGAAUAGAAAACAAAAGGAGGCCAAGGGCUAUCUUUUGCUGAAGAUGAAUGGCUGGGAAAUGGGAUAAGAUCAGUGUAGGAGACCCCUAACAACCUAAAGACUCAGGGAUUCUCUGUUAGUUUCUCAGUCACAUCCAUCCCAAUAGACAAGUCUCUCCCCUUGACCUUCCUUUGACCACCUCCCACCCAUUCCCUUAUUUCUGCCAGGACAGGAGUAGAUCAACACAAAAGGCAAAAAGAAACUCAGAGGCAGAUUUGUGGGUGAAAUAGGACCAAAAUGGAAUCCAAGGCCUUGGCUUUGAAUCACAGCUCUGCUGGGCAAGUCACUUCAACUCUCUCGGCCUCAGUUUCCUCACCUAUCAAAUGAGGUGACUGAAUGAGAUGGCAUCCAUGAUCUUUUCCAAUUCUAAAUUAUGUGGCCUACCUAAGAUUUGUAAAGAUGGGACACAGAUCACUCCAGGGACAGGAGGCAUCUCCCAAACAGAGGUGAGAGUUGGGGGAGAGAGAGAGAGAGCACGGAGCCUCAAUUCAGAGACAAGCAGGAGACAAUGUGGCAUGACUGAUGAAGCACAGGAUUCAGAAAUCUGAAGACCUUUGUUUAAAUCUAGCGGUGCUAGUUAUUAACUGGGUGAACCUGAAUAAAAGCUUACUGGUUUGGGGCCUAGAGAAUCUGAGUUCAAAUCUCAGCUUUACUGCUUAUUAUUACCCAUAUGCCCUUAGACAAAACUUGCCUGUGGGCCUCAGUUUCCUCAUGAGUCAGAUGCCUCUCCAAGGUUCCUUCCAACUGUUAUGAUGCUUCGUCUCUCUUGACUUCGUUUCCUCAUUUGAGGCUAGACCAGGAGACCAAACCUUUGAUCUGAGUCUUUACCGUUGCUUUUUUCUCUCUUAUCUACCAUCAUUCCCUCUAAGACUCAUCCCUUCACAUAUGCAUACAUUUAAAGUGUAGAACCAAAUUUCUGUACCCUAGCUGGUGGUACCAGGUUGGGUCCAAGUUCUUGCCCGCAAAAAGUCCUAAAAGAUGUACCACCUACUACAAUUAAACCAGGCAGCAUAGCAGAAAGGAAGGAAAAGGGUAUAAGUCUGCAAAAACAUCAUUUCCAAUUCUGUACACUUCCAGACUCUGUGACUCAGUUUCCCUCUGGAUGCCAUGGGGCUGAAUCUCAGAGACAGAUUUGUGAUGGAGGGGGGUAGAUGUGGCAGAAUGCAAUUUUGGGGAUUGCCACUGUAUGACCUAGAAGAGGUGGUGAAAUGGGCUGAAAUUAUAGCAUAAUAGAUAAUAAUAUUAGCUCAUAUUUGCAUGGCACUAUACAAAGCACUUUCCUCACAAAUCCUAUGGCACUGAAAGUAUAAUUAAUCCUCUCUUUUACAGAUGAGGAAAUUAAGGUUCUGAAAGGGAACAAGAUUUGUCUCAAGUCAUAGCAUAACAGGCUCAGGGGCUUGGACCCUUUAUUCUUUCCACCAUGCAACAGCCAUAGGAAAGAAAUUACCAGUAAUAAAGUAAGGGUGACACUGGGCUGGAUGGCUAAGGGACAGUAUAUCAUCUCCUAAACAAGGAAACUCUCAGAAAAGGGAAUACAGUUUUCAAAAUGAGAAACUCUUUUCCCCAAAAAGAGAUAUUCACUUCCCCUAAUCUCUCUGGACAGGACUAAGCUCCAGAAACAAGGAUAAACCCUGGAGGGUCUUCUCUGACUAGGGAGUUCUAAGAGAUGUUCUAAGAGUUCUGAGAUGCUGGUUCUAAGAGUCAGGCCCCGAACACAGA